CCUCAUGUUCAUUCUAUCAUGUAGAAACUGUUUGGUGAAUUGAAAUAGGAAGUUGAGGAUAUUUCUCCAAAGGAAAAGUUUUAAAAACUAAUUCAAUGUGAAAGAAGAUUUGUCCAGCUACAUGCAAGACUGAUAAACUGCUGUAAUAAUAACAACAUGUGACAUGUGACAUGUUAAUUGUGUUUUCAUGAUAUAGUGCCCUUGGAAUUUCCCAGUAGUCCAGUCAAGGAAAAUGAGAACCACACUCAGAUAACUAAAGACCUGCUCUUUGCACAAAAUUAGAAUACCACUGUUACAUAUUCUGGGAACUGACUUUUUCUUUUUUUUUUCAGACACAGUCUCACUCUGUGGCCCAGGCUAUAGUACAGUGGUGUGAUCUCGGCUUAUUACAACUCCACCUCCUGGAUUCAAGAGAUUCUCCCACUUAGCCACCUGGACAUCUGGGAUUACAGGUGUGAACCACUGGGCCUGGCUAAUUUUUCUGUAUUUUUAGUAGAGACAGGAUUUCACCAUUGGGGACUGACUGUUUUUUUUUUAAAUUGCAUUUUAGGUUUUGGGGUACAUAUGAAGAACAUGCAAGAUACUUGCAUAGGGGGAUUCCAAAAAAAAAUGACUACCCAAUCCCAGAGCAAUGCUGUAAGUCUCUCUCCUGAAGACAACGAUAGGGCCUUCCUUGGUUGUUGGGCAAUGUGGUGACUUCCCUUGGCCCUGAAACUCUCCCAGCAACUUGAGUGAAAGAGGUAACUUUGGGAAGAUCCUUGGACCCUGGGUCUGUCGUAUCCCAGCUGGCUUCCAGAGCCUUGGCUUUCAUACCUCACUGCGGUCUGGGAAGUGCCUCAGAAAAAUUUGUUAAGACAAUGUUUCUAUCAGUGGAUCAUAUCAGAAAGUAGGCAGUUCUCAUUACAGGGAUGAACAAGACAAAUGGAGCUUUCCUUGCCCAGAGCAGCAAUAAAAUAGGCAACUUAAUAUCCAGUAAUAAGGCUCAAGGCUCAGAUUAGUAAAACUGGUUAUUAUUUUAUGGCCCUUAAAGAACCAGGUCAAGCAAACCCAGUGCCCCCAAGUAACCCUGAAACCAGGUGGUUCCAGCUCUUUAGGCUUCUUUCCCAAAAAUUCGUACAGCAGCUUCCUAGAGCUGGCUGGAAGGAGCUGAGACUGUUGGAAUUUGGCCUGGGUCUGUAAAUCUUUAGCUAACAGGGGCCUAAUUCAAUACUUCUUUAAAAGAUCAAAAAGACAAUGAGUGUUCUUUUAAAUCACGCUGGGAUUUGCAGUCUUUUUGACGUCUUACUCCCUCUGCAGAAGACCACCUCCAUUUUUCUCACCACCUGCAGCCCCUCCCGAGGUGAGCUAUAGAAUGUGCUGUGCCUUAAAAAAAAAUCUCAUUGUUGGAGCCUCUCAUACUUGUCUUUCAGCAUGCUGAUUUGCUCUGGCUACACUUUUGGAAACUGGCAGCCGUAGGGAGGAUUUUGUGACCAGUAUUAUGAUUUUGGUGUGAGCUUGCCAGUCCUCUUCUGAUUCCGGUCGAGUCAGUCUUGUUAGGUCUUGAUGCUUAUUCUCUUUUUGUUUACUCCACAGGGGAUUUCAUCAUGGUGCCUCCGGGAAUGGACUGCAUACAAUUUUCUGUAUAGAUGAUGGGACUCAAUCUUAAAAUGUAUUCCAAGUAUUGGGCAAUCCCUUUCAACCUCAUUUUAAAAUAGUACUUUUUUUUAACUUUAAAUUCUGGGUUACAUGUGUAGAACGUGCAGGCUUGUUACAUAGGUCUACAUGAGCCAUGGUGGUUUGCUGCACCCUUCAACCCAUCAUCUAUGUUAGGUAUUUCUCCUAAUGCUAUCCCUCCCCUAGCCCCCAACCC
rnacentral:lncRNA from 1 species